rnacentral:rRNA from 1 species
UGAGGAAUAUUGGUCAAUGGGCGCGAGCCUGAACCAGCCAAGUAGCGUGAGGGAUGACUGCCCUAUGGGUUGUAAACCUCUUUUGAUUGGGAACAAAGAGCGCCACGUGUGGUGCGUUGCGUGUACCUUUCGAAUAAGGAUCGGCUAACUCCGUGCCAGCAGCCGCGGUAAUACGGAGGAUCCGAGCGUUAUCCGGAUUCAUUGGGUUUAAAGGGUGCGCAGGCGGGUCUGUAAGCCCGUGGUGAAAGCCUGGUGCUCAACGCCAGAGGUGCCGCGGGAACUGCAGGUCUUGAGUCGUGACGAGGGCGGCGGAAUGCGAAGUGUAGCGGUGAAAUGCUUAGAUAGUUCGCAGAACGCCGAUUGCGAAGGCAGCCGCCCAGGGACGCACUGACGCUGAGGCACGAAGGCAUGGGGAUCGAACAGGAUUAGAUACCCUGGUAGU